UGAAGUAAAAGUCGUAACAAGGUUUCCGUAGGUGAACCUGCGGAAGGAUCAUUAUUGUAUAACCGAGGUGCGAGGGCUGUCGCUGACCCGAAAGGUCGUGCACGCCCGAGUGCCCUCACACAUCCAUCUCACCCCUAUGUGCACCACCGCGUGGGUCCCCCUUUGGCUUGUUCGGAGGGGGGCUUACGUUUUCACACAAACUUUGUAUGCAGUGUAGAAUGUAUUUUUUGUUUUUGCGAUCACGCAAUCAAUACAACUUUCAACAACGGAUCUCUUGGCUCUC
rnacentral:misc_RNA from 1 species